CCCCGGGCUUACGCCCGGGGCUAGACUCUGGCGCGCCUCCGGCGCU
rfam:Acidobacteria bacterium RIFCSPLOWO2_12_FTLL_60_22 rifcsplowo2_12_scaffold_13435, whole genome shotgun sequence.